GCGCUCAAGUGAGGCCAAGCCAAGGUAGGACAUCUUGAGCUGCUUGCGCAGCCAAUCUUCCGGGGGCGUGAGCGUGCGCGUCUCCAUGGCCUGGUCAAAGCGCAGGAUGAGCUCGCGGGAGGCGGCGAGCUUGUCCCUGAUGUUGCCCGUGGAUUUGGCGCUCCAGCUCGUGAGGGCGCGGCCCGUGGCCUGCAAGCGCCCGACAAGCCGCCUGAAGGGGUCAGUGUCCGACACCGAGCUCCAGGCUGCAGCCACCGUGUCAUGGAAGCCGUCUAAGCGCAUCCAGAACUCCUCAAAGUGGAAGCGUCUAUGAGCCGAGGGCAUGGGCGAGCAGUCCAGGAGCAGGGGACAGUGGUCGGAGACGACGGAUGCCAGGCAGCGGAGGUAGCACUCGCCAUGGCAAUCCUCCCAGUCCGCG
rnacentral:lncRNA from 1 species